rnacentral:rRNA from 1 species
UGGGGAAUUUUGGACAAUGGGGGAAACCCUGAUCCAGCAACGCCGCGUGAAUGAAGAAGGCCUUAGGGUUGUAAAGUUCUUUUGUCAGGGAAGAAAGUUUCUGUGCUAAUACCAUAGAACGAUGACGGUACCUGAAGAAUAAGCACCGGCUAACUACGUGCCAGCAGCCGCGGUAAUACGUAGGGUGCAAGCGUUAAUCGGAAUUACUGGGCGUAAAGCGUGCGCAGGCGGAUAUGUAAGUUAGAAGUGAAAUCCCCGGGCUCAACCUGGGAACUGCUUUUAAGACUGCGUAUCUAGAGUUUGUCAGAGGGGGGUGGAAUUCCAAGUGUAGCAGUGAAAUGCGUAGAGAUUUGGAGGAACACCGAUGGCGAAGGCAGCCCCCUGGGAUAAAACUGACGCUCAUGCACGAAAGCGUGGGUAGCAAACA